rnacentral:tRNA from 1 species
GCCCGGGUGGUGGAACUGGCAGACACGUACGUUUGAGGGGCGUAUGCCUCACGGCUUGCGAGUUCGAGUCUCGCCCCGGGCA